CAAUAGCGUAUAUUAACGUUGUUGCAGUUAAAAAGCUCGUAGUUGGAUUUCUGGAGGGAGCGUCGGCCCGUAUUUACGAGUGCGUGACGUCUCUGUCCAUCCUUGCGGGAAGGCACGGCAUUGAUUUGUUGUGUCGGAUCGCAUCAUUUACUGUGAAAAAAUUAGAGUGUUCAAAGCAGGCUUUCGCUUGAAUACAUUAGCAUGGAAUAAUAAGAUAGGACUUUGGUGCUAUUUUGUUGGUUGAGCCUAAAGUAAUGAUUAAUAGGGAUAGUUGGGGGCACCUGUAUUGCGUUGUCAGAGGUGAAAUUCUUGGAUUUACGCAAGACAAACCGCUGCGAAANCGNNNGCGAAGGAUGUUUUCAUNAA
rnacentral:rRNA from 1 species